AGUGAACGCUGGCGGUAGGCCUAACACAUGCAAGUCGAACGGCAGCACAGUAAGAGCUUGCUCUUACGGGUGGCGAGUGGCGGACGGGUGAGGAAUACAUCGGAAUCUACUUUUUCGUGGGGGAUAACGUAGGGAAACUUACGCUAAUACCGCAUACGACCUACGGGUGAAAGCAGGGGAUCUUCGGACCUUGCGCGAUUGAAUGAGCCGAUGCCGGAUUAGCUAGUUGGCGGGGUAAAGGCCCACCAAGGCGACGAUCCGUAGCUGGUCUGAGAGGAUGAUCAGCCACACUGGAACUGAGACACGGUCCAGACUCCUACGGGAGGCAGCAGUGGGGAAUAUUGGACAAUGGGCGCAAGCCUGAUCCAGCCAUACCGCGUGGGUGAAGAAGGACUUCGGGUUGUAAAGCCCUUUUGUUGGGAAAGAAAAGCAGCAGGUUAAGACCCCGCUGUUCUGACGGUACCCAAAGAAUAAGCACCGGCUAACUUCGUG
rnacentral:rRNA from 1 species